GAUUGAUUCAUUCAGGAAGAUUGUCUAAUUGUCCAGUAUGGCUUGUAUUCUUCUGCUCUUCACCAUCCUGUCAUCCUUUGGGGCCAGUAUCCAGCAGCUGCAGAGCUUGAAAGAUCCAGAUUUUGUAGCUCCAGCAGGGACAAUCACCAUGUCCUGUAGAUACGAUGGUGGAACCAUCACUGACAACAACUACCCACGAUGGAUCCAGCAGAAGUCAGAGCAGGUUCCAAGGCUCUUAAUACACAGCACCAGCAGCAGGCCAUCAGGUGUUCCAGCCCGUUUCUCUGGCUCCAGGUCAGGGAACACCAUGUCCCUGACCAUCACAGGGGCCUUGGUGGAAGAUGAGGCCACUUAUUAUUGUUUAGUUUGGAUCGGGGACGGGUGCACAGUGCUUGAUUCAGAUAGAGAAAUGAGACAAAAGCCCUUCAAAGGAAGUGAAACUCUUUCAUGGAGUCUCAACAAUCUUUUUGUGACAGAUCGUGGGUGA